CUUUGAUGCAAACUUUAAUUACAUUUCUCUUUUCUAGAUCCCAAAGGAAGCAAAUACUUAAAUAUUAUAAACAAGUGAUAAAAAUAAAGGAAAAUGCAGAAACUCUGGCCAAGUCCUCACUCAUCAGGAAGCAGCUGAGUGUCAGCCUCAGCGAUACAUUAUAUAAAUUAGCAGAUCAGUUAUUGGCAAGUGACUCUUGUCAUCACGUCAUGAUUGAGGCAGUAGGCUACUUGUACAGAUCACUUGAUUUAAGGGUGAUUCACCUGGGAUCUUCUCAUUCAUCGAUCCAUGGAAUCCUGCAGUGAGUUUCUGUUUCAUGUUCCAAACAGAAAUAUGCUUCUGGUUAUUCAUGUUAUAUAUAUAUGACCUCUUGACAACUUUUCAUCUUUUGCAGCCUUCUGAGAGAAACUGAGUGGGUCCGGAGCUGGAGAUGUUGGCCUCAAGGUAUGAGUCAGUCACAUUCUGCAGGUUCUAGGAAUGGCUUCUCAUUAUGGGAGCACUUGCUUAAAUUAAGCUAUCACAGUGCUCAGAGUUCUGAUACAGUGAGCUCUGCAAUGUACACAAAUGCAGAUAACUUAUACAGGACUAAAAAACAGACUUAGCUCCUCAGACAAUUUCAGAUAAAUCAAAAUGUGCUUCUGGAAAAGGGAAAAAGAAACACAUUAUUUGCAAAUCUGCUAAGGAAAAGAUACAAUGGAAGACACAAAAUAAUGCUGAAAUAUGGAAUGGCUCAGGAAAGGAAGCACCAAAGAAAGACUAUUCCUCUAACAUUUUAUCUUUGGGUAAAAUGAAUGGUUUAGUAAAGCUUUCAAGGGAAAGAAUUUUGUUAGCUAAAAGUGAGAGUGGAGAAGGUGAAAUCUCCACCAUUGACCGCUGUCCCCUGCUGUGGCCUUUUAGCACAAAAAACCCUUGGGAAUCCAUAUCUGAGCUCAUAUCAGAAAAGUGGCUUUUUCAUAGCCCAGAUUAUAUUUUGAUGUCUCAGAAGUCUUUUUUGCAGAGAAUAUCUCAUGCUGAAACAAAAUUGUUGAAGAGCUCAAAUGAUAUUAAUAAAUAAUAAAAAUUUAUCAUGGGCUUCUUGACAUCUGUUUUUUCUACAUGUG
rnacentral:lncRNA from 1 species